UCCGAUAUGGGGUAGUGGCUAACCUAUCGCGCUUUCACCGCGAGGCCCCGGGUUCAAUUCCCGGUAUCGGAA